AAAUGGCAGCGAUCUGCAGCUCCAGUCCAGAUGAUCCAGUGAUCCGGAUUCUUCUGAAACGGUUCUGGAGAAAGCUCAUCUGUGGGGGCGAUUCACAAAAGACAAAAGAAGUAAAAUAAAAACAAACAAUGUAGAAACUCAAAGAAGAGACUGGAGAACUGAACUCUGGGAAGGCACUCCCUGUGAAAAACCCGAGUUUAUGAUAUUCACAGAUCACUGGAUUAACUGGGACGUGUGGAGGGAAUUACCACUUGAUUUGGUUGAUUUUGUUUGUUGGAGGCGACGGAGUUUCGGAUGGUUUCCUUCCUGCCCUCUUCUGCUGAAGGAGGAGCCUUUCUUUUGGCUGAACGGCUCAUAAUGAACUAGAUGUUUAUGCCUAGUCCUACAAUACAGCUCUUCAGAAUUCUGCUGUCACUUUUCCAUUUUGCCCAAGGACCCGCUUAAGGAAUAUUCAACAGUUUGAAAGUCUUUAGGGUCGAUCGGUAAAAGUCUUGAUUCUGACAGCAGCUCAUGAAUGCGUCGCAGUUUGAAGGGGGUGACCUGUGACGCCACCGUCAGCAGGACCGGCCGUGGCUCCGCCCACUGAGGGGCAGCAUUGGUUUUCAGCGGGAUUUCAGUCGCUUUGGAUAAAAGCGUCUGCUAAAUGCAUAAAUUAUUAUUAUUUAUUAUGUCAUCAAGUGACAUUUAGCUACCAGUUUUAGCUACUUUCAAUUGAAAGCAGUUGGCAGCGCUGAGCUCCGCACAGUUUAGCUCCAACUCUACUCAAACACACCUGAUCCAGCUAAUCAAGGUCUUCAGGAUUACUAGAAACUUCCAAACAGGUGUAAGUUGGAGCUGGAUGGAGCUAAACUUUGCAGAGCUGUGGCCUUCCAUAAUUGAGUUGGACACCACUGUGUUAGGUCAAAGUUUUGGCUGUGACUCAACCAGGUCCUUCCGGUAGGGAAUAUGGUUGAUGGAAC
ensembl:lncRNA